rnacentral:rRNA from 1 species
UACGUAGGGUGCAAGCGUUAAUCGGAAUUACUGGGCGUAAAGCGUGCGCAGGCGGUUUUGUAAGUCUGAUGUGAAAUCCCCGGGCUCAACCUGGGAAUUGCAUUGGAGACUGCAAGGCUAGAAUCUGGCAGAGGGGGGUAGAAUUCCACGUGUAGCAGUGAAAUGCGUAGAGAUGUGGAGGAACACCGAUGGCGAAGGCAGCCCCCUGGGUCAAGAUUGACGCUCAUGCACGAAAGUGUGGGGAGCAAACAGG